AACGAACGCUGGCGGCGUGCCUAACACAUGCAAGUCGAGCGAGAAAGUCCCGGCAACGGGAUGAGUACAGCGGCGAACGGGUGAGUAACGCGUGGGUAAUCUACCCUCCAGCUCGGGAUAACCUGCCGAAAGGUGGGCUAAUACCGGAUGAUGUUCCCGUGGGGAUCCUGCGGGAAGCAAAGGGGGCGAGAGUAAGCAGCUCUCACUGGAGGAGGAGCCGGCGUCCGAUGAGCUAGUUGGUGGGGUAAUGGCCUACCAAGGCGACGACCGGUAGCCGGCCUGAGAGGGCGACCGGCCACACUGGAACUGAGACACGGUCCAGACUCCUACGGGAGGCAGCAGUGGGGAAUCUUGCGCAAUGGGCGAAAGCCUGACGCAGCGACGCCGCGUGGGCGAUGAAGGCCUUCGGGUCGUAAAGCCCUGUCGGGUGGGACGAAUCUCCUGGUGGCGAAUAACCACCGGGCUUGACGGUACCACCGAAGGAAGCCCCGGCUAACUACGUGCCAGCAGCCGCCGUAA
rnacentral:rRNA from 1 species